rnacentral:rRNA from 1 species
UACGUAGGGUGCAAGCGUUGUCCGGAAUUAUUGGGCGUAAAGAGCUCGUAGGCGGUUUGUCGCGUCUGAUGUGAAAUCUCCGGGCUUAACCCGGAAAUGGCAUUGGAAACUGCCUGGCUAGAGUGUUGGAGGGGGGACUGGAAUUCUCGGUGUAGCAGUGAAAUGCGUAGAUAUCGAGAGGAACACCAGUGGCGAAGGCGAGUCCCUGGACCGGCAUUGACGCUGAGGCGCGAAAGCCAGGGGAGCAAACGGG